rnacentral:piRNA from 1 species
UGAUACUUAGCAGGUGCAGCAUCCCACAGU